rnacentral:rRNA from 1 species
UACGUAGGGGGCAAGCGUUGUCCGGAAUCAUUGGGCGUAAAGCGCGUGUAGGCGGCCAGAUAAGUCCGCUGUGAAAUCUCGAGGCUCAACUUCGAGCUGUCGGUGGAAACUGUCUGGCUAGAGUCCGGAAGAGGAGAAUGGAAUUCCUGGUGUAGCGGUGAAAUGCGCAGAUAUCAGGAAGAACACCCGUGGCGAAGGCGGCUCUCUGGAACGCAACUGACGCUGAGACGCGAAAGCGUGGGGAGCAAACAGG